UUGAUCAUACCAGUGACAACAUUUGGAGAGUUCUCUUGCUCAUGACGACUGGUGAUUGCAUAGAGGCGAUUUGCUCCUCCACCGGUACUAGAAGUAGCUCCUCUAGGUGUCGUCCUGUCUGGUGGAACAACUGAAGAAGACUGUGCUCUAUUGCCCCUAUUACCCUGCCUAUUCUUUGGACACUCUCGCAUGAAAUGUCCAUUCUUAC
rnacentral:lncRNA from 1 species